UAGAGUUUGAUCCUGGCUCAGAUUGAACGCUGGCGGCAGGCCUAACACAUGCAAGUCGAGCGGAAACGAUUUAACUGAACCUUCGGGGAACGUUAACGGCGUCGAGCGGCGGACGGGUGAGUAAUGCCUGGGAAAUUGCCCUGAUGUGGGGGAUAACCAUUGGAAACGAUGGCUAAUACCGCAUAAUAGCUUCGGCUCAAAGAGGGGGACCUUCGGGCCUCUCGCGUCAGGAUAUGCCCAGGUGGGAUUAGCUAGUUGGUGAGGUAAGGGCUCACCAAGGCGACGAUCCCUAGCUGGUCUGAGAGGAUGAUCAGCCACACUGGAACUGAGACACGGUCCAGACUCCUACGGGAGGCAGCAGUGGGGAAUAUUGCACAAUGGGCGCAAGCCUGAUGCAGCCAUGCCGCGUGUAUGAAGAAGGCCUUCGGGUUGUAAAGUACUUUCAGCAGUGAGGAAGGUU
rnacentral:rRNA from 1 species